rnacentral:lncRNA from 1 species
UCACAUAAUAUAAAAUCUUUUAAAAUUUUUAGAGUUUAAAUCAUGUGACUGAGAGGGCAUGACCAAUCUUCCAAAUAAGAGAAUUUCUAGAUAUGAGAAGAAUAAAAUAGCAUAAAUGCAAAUAAAUUAUUCGUAUAACUCUAUAAAAGAAAGGCCUAGAAAAAAAAUGAUGUAAAAAAACUUUGAGCCUUUGAGAGUGGAGAACGCCACCAAUAUGUAAAGUGAUGAAAUCUCAUAUGAGCCAAUCAAAUCAAGAACCAAAUCUUAGGCAAUUAGUGUGAUAUAAGUUAUCUUGAAGGAUUCUCAAUAAUUCAAUAAUUUAACCAUUCGAAUUCGAGGACCUAUUAUACUCUAUCAAAUCUCCUUGACACAUAUAUAAAAGAUAAGGUACUCAAUUAACCUCAAGGACUAAUUGUAUUAUUAGUUACGUAUAGGUACGUGGCGGUGGUGAUAGCAAUGGCUCGGCUUGCUAACAAUGUUGCACAUGGGUUAAGGCUACAUGUAGCCCACGGCACUCUUGACUUGUUGGAGGUUCCAUUAAUGUGCUGUACGUGAUUUAUCAAAACUCAAAAGGACUAGUACCAGGCAAAAUUUGAAACUUUAUGUCACUAUACCAAAUUUUUAUGUGAUUCCCAUAAUACCUCCAUGUUUACAUAAAGACCAAUUAUGUGCAUCCGCAUAUAUAUUCUAUCUCAGUGGAAACCUCAUUUCGAGUAACUAUGUAGAACACAAAUUAGUACUUAGUAGUUGAAAUUUCUCAUUUCUAGGGUUGGCAAUAAACUCCGGAUCCGGUCCGAAUUCACAAAGAUUUAGAUCUGAAAAACUCAGGAUCCGCAUGUUAAAAAAUGCGGAUCCAGAUCUUAAAAAACAAGAUCAGUGCGGAUCCAAAUUUGGAUCCG